ACGCACAGCGAAAGGUGCUUGCACCUUUCAAGUGAGUGGCGAACGGGUGAGUAACACGUGGACAACCUGCCUCAAGGCUGGGGAUAACAUUUGGAAACAGAUGCUAAUACCGAAUAAAACUUAGUGUCGCAUGACAAAAAGUUAAAAGGCGCUUCGGCGUCACCUAGAGAUGGAUCCGCGGUGCAUUAGUUAGUUGGUGGGGUAAAGGCCUACCAAGACAAUGAUGCAUAGCCGAGUUGAGAGACUGAUCGGCCACAUUGGGACUGAGACACGGCCCAAACUCCUACGGGAGGCUGCAGUAGGGAAUCUUCCACAAUGGGCGAAAGCCUGAUGGAGCAACGCCGCGUGUGUGAUGAAGGCUUUCGGGUCGUAAAGCACUGUUGUAUGGGAAGAACAGCUAGAAUAGGAAAUGAUUUUAGUUUGACGGUACCAUACCAGAAAGGGACGGCUAAAUACGUGCCAGCAGCCGCGGUAAUACGUAUGUCCCGAGCGUUAUCCGGAUUUAUUGGGCGUAAAGCGAGCGCAGACGGUUUAUUAAGUCUGAUGUGAAAGCCCGGAGCUCAACUCCGGAAUGGCAUUGGAAACUGGUUAACUUGAGUGCAGUAGAGGUAAGUGGAACUCCAUGUGUAGCGGUGGAAUGCGUAGAUAUAUGGAAGAACACCAGUGGCGAAGGCGGCUUACUGGACUGCAACUGACGUUGAGGCUCGAAAGUGUGGGUAGCAAACAGGAUUAGAUACCCUGGUAGUCCACA
rnacentral:rRNA from 1 species